UUUCAGAACAAAGGUACGG
rnacentral:piRNA from 1 species